rnacentral:lncRNA from 1 species
GAAUAGCUUGUGAGAGUGUACGAGUGGAAUGAAGGGGUCAGAUGAGAGAGCGCGGCGGAGAUGGAGAGAAGCGGAGAACUUGAUGCAUAUUUUGGAGGCAAAAUCAACAAGAUUGGCUGAUGGAUUAGAAGCAGAAGAUUUUGCCAUAGAGAAAUCUCUUGCUUUUUAAUCUCUCCAAUUUGUGAACCAACCAACCAGUCUACCAACCAGCCAACCAAUCAACUACUCAACCAGUCAACUAACUCCUCCCGGAGACAAAGAUUGGAGAAUGCUUGAAUCUGGUACAAAGACUAAAGCAAAGUAAUACUGUAUCAUGUACAGACCUCAACUCUGUGAAGACAGUCCCUCAUGCUGUAGGAAGUCAGCCUUGAAUAUCUAGGCUUAGGGGAGGCUGAGAAAGGUCACCACUGGAGAAGUAAGCGGUUGGGGCAGGUCAGGAUCCAGGGCUCUCAAUUCUUAUGGAGAGAUUUUGCUUUUUUAAAACGUCAGACCUGCUGGUGUUUGCACUCAGUUUUCUUUCUUAUAAAAAUCAACUCUAUUGAGAUGUACUGCCCAAUCAAGAUAUAGAACAUUUGCAUCACCCUAGAAAACUUCAUUGUGC